rnacentral:rRNA from 1 species
AUUGAACGCUGGCGGCAUGCCUUACACACGCAAGUCGAACGGCAGCACGGGAGCAAUCCUGGUGGCGAGUGGCGAACGGGUGAGUAAUAUAUCGGAACGUGCCCAGUCGUGGGGGAUAACGUAGCGAAAGCUACGCUAAUACCGCAUACGAUCUAUGGAUGAAAGCGGGGGAUCGCAAGACCUCGCGCGAUUGGAGCGGCCGAUAUCAGAUUAGGUAGUUGGUGAGGUAAAGGCUCACUAAGCCGACGAUCUGUAGCUGGUCUGAGAGGACGACCAGCCACACUGGGACUGAGACACGGCCCAGACUCCUACGGGAGGCAGCAGUGGGGAAUUUUGGACAAUGGGCGCAAGCCUGAUCCAGCAAUGCCGCGUGCAGGAUGAAGGCCU